GAUUACUAGCGAUUCCAACUUCAUGGGCUCGAGUUGCAGAGCCCAAUCCGAACUGAGACGGCUUUUUGAGAUUUGCGAAGGGUCGCCCCUUAGCAUCCCAUUGUCACCGCCAUUGUAGCACGUGUGUAGCCCAGCCCGUAAGGGCCAUGAGGACUUGACGUCAUCCCCACCUUCCUCGCGGCUUAUCACCGGCAGUCUCCUUAGAGUGCUCAACUAAAUGGUAGCAACUAAGGACGGGGGUUGCGCUCGUUGCGGGACUUAACCCAACAUCUCACGACACGAGCUGACGACAGCCAUGCAGCACCUGUCUCCGGUCCUGCCGAACUGAAGAACUCCGUCUCUGGAGUCCGCGACCGGGAUGUCAAGGGCUGGUAAGGCUCUGCGCGUUGCGUCGAAUUAAACCACAUGCUCCACCGCUUGUGCGGGCCCCCGUCAAUUCCUUUGAGGUUUUAAUCU
rnacentral:rRNA from 1 species